AGGAUACACAGCGUUUUUGGGACACGCCUUUGUUGGAUUUUAAUACAUGUCCUGCUAACGACAGCUUUCAACUAUGGAAUCGACGGUUGAUGAUGAGGCGAUGGCAGCAUAAAUGAAGAUCAAGUAAGGAAGGCAGAACGAUGCCCAAGGGUGGGUGUUCUAAAACACCACAGCCAGAAGAUUUCUCUCUCAGCAACGACAUGGUGGAGAAACAAACGGGGAAAAAGGAUAAAGAUAAAGUUUCUCUGACCAAGACUCCGAAGUUGGACCGGAACGAUGGCGGCAAAGAGGUGAAAGAGAGAGCUACGAAGCGCAAGUUACCUUUCACUGUCGGAACAAAUGGAGAUCAAAAAGACUCGG